UUGAAAGGGAAACGAUUGAAGUCAGUCGUACCGACGAGAAAUCAGCUUUUCGAAUGUGCAUUUGUGGGCGUAUGAGAUCUUCAUUGGUUGCAAUAUGUAUAUUUCUUUGGUGUACUUUUUCGUAUGGUAGGUCAAUGUCGGUUUUGAUCGCCAUAAAAUGAUCGGAGGAAUGUAGCUUCGGCUUCGGUUGAAGUGUCAUAGCCUUUGGUAGAUGUGGUGAUUAAGACCGAGGAUUGCAACGAAUACCUUUUAGGCUAUCCGUCUGACCUCUGAAAGUUACUUAGGUGCCGAAAGCUUACUUACGGUCAUUUAAGUUGACGGUCAAUAGGUUAGAACGUGAUUACAUUCGUUAAGGAUGUUGACGUA
rnacentral:rRNA from 1 species